AGUUUGACCUCGAAUCAGGUAGGGAUACCCGCUGAACUUAAACAUAUCAAUAAGCGGAGGAAAAGAAACCAACAGGGAUUGCCCUAGUAACGGCGAGUGAAGCGGCAAAAGCUCAAAUUUGAAAUCUGGCCUUCUAUGGAGGUCCGAGUUGUAAUUUGCAGAGGGCGCUUUGGCGUCGGCAGCGGUCUAAGUUCCUUGGAACAGGACGUCACAGAGGGUGAGAAUCCCGUACGUGGUCGCCUGCCUUCGCCGUGUAAAGCCCCUUCGACGAGUCGAGUUGUUUGGGAAUGCAGCUCUAAAUGGGAGGUAAAUUUCUCCUAAAGCUAAAUACUGGCCAGAGACCGAUAGCGCACAAGUAGAGUGAUCGAAAGAUGAAAAGUACUUUGGAAAGAGAGUCAAACAGCACGUGAAAUUGUUGAAAGGGAAGCGCUUGCAGCCAGACUUGUCCGCGGUUGUUCUCUUCCGUGGGCAGGCCAGCAUCAGUUUGGGCGAUCGGAUAAAGGCCCCUGUCACGUAUCACCCUUCGGGGUGACCUUAUAGGGGAGGUGUAAUGCGAUCAGCCUGGACUGAGGUCCGCGCAUCUGCUAGGAUGCUGGCGUAAUGGCUGUAAGCGGCCCGUCUUGAAACACGGACCAAGGAGUCUAACAUCUAUGCGAGUGUUUGGGUGUCAAGCCCGGGCGCGCAAUGAAAGUGAACGGAGGUGGGAACCCUCUCGGGGGUGCACCAUCGACCGAUCCUGAAGUCUUCGGAUGGAUUUGAGUAAGAGCAUAGCUGUUGGGACCCGAAAGAUGGUGAACUAUGCUUGAAUAGGGUGAAGCCAGAGGAAACUCUGGUGGAGGCUCGCAGCGGUUCUGACGUGCAAAUCGAUCGUCAAAUUUGGGCAUAGGGGGCGAAAGACUAAUCGAACUAUCUAGUAGCUGGUUCCUGCCGAAGUUUCCCUCAGGAUAGCAGUAACGUAUUCAGUUUUAUGAGGUAAAGCGAAUGAUUAGAGGCCUGGGGGUUGAAACAACCUUCACCUAUUCUCAAACUUUAAAUAUGUA
rnacentral:rRNA from 1 species